rnacentral:rRNA from 1 species
UGGGGAAUAUUGCACAAUGGGCGCAAGCCUGAUGCAGCCAUGCCGCGUGUAUGAAGAAGGCCUUCGGGUUGUAAAGUACUUUCAGUCGGGAGGAAGGUGGUAAGGUUAAUAACCUUAUCAAUUGACGUUACCCGCAGAAGAAGCACCGGCUAACUCCGUGCCAGCAGCCGCGGUAAUACGGAGGGUGCAAGCGUUAAUCGGAAUUACUGGGCGUAAAGCGCACGCAGGCGGUCUGUCAAGUCGGAUGUGAAAUCCCCGGGCUCAACCUGGGAACUGCAUUCGAAACUGGCAGGCUAGAGUCUUGUAGAGGGGGGUAGAAUUCCAGAUGUAGCGGUGAAAUGCGUAGAGAUCUGGAGGAAUACCGGUGGCGAAGGCGGCCCCCUGGACAAAGACUGACGCUCAGGUGCGAAAGCGUGGGGAGCAAACAGG